AUGUCCUCGAGAACAGCUGGAAAGUAAACUGUUCCAACAGCCAUUGCUACUGGUUGUCCUGUGAUAUAGUAAUGAUGUUCUCGGUGUGACAGAGAAGUAAGUUCUCGGAACAGAGGAACUUCCGCCGAGGACUCGGACCGGAACUCCAGCUCACUGCUUCCGCUCGCUGGGUCCUUCCUGCUGGGUGGCUGGCUAUUAGGAACUGGAUGCUAUGAAGGGAAAUGGGUGGAUACUAAGGAAAGCUCACGAGGUUUGAAAUCGGUGUGAUCUUAUCAACAAGAGACCUCCACACGGAGAGCUUGCUUACAAGAUACAAGACAUAGAGGUUGCAUUCAAGAGACAAGGCAGGUCCGCCAUGUUGCCACAAAUGAUGGAAUUCAUACUCUCAUAGAUGCAUACUAUUCCAGAGAGAGAGAGAGAGAGAGAGCACUCCCAACAUCAACUCACAUUAAAAAAAGCCUAUUCGUCUAUUGAAUCUAUUGAAGUCAGUCCCACACCCAUCUCUUGUCAAUAAACCCUGAAGAAAUACAGAAAAGUUCCUGGUAAGAGCUGUUCCAGGGUUGACAAUAGUGAAGCCAUCUGGAAAACUGUACGAACUUUCCUUUAAAGAAUCUAAAAAUGGA